UACGUAGGGUGCAAGCGUUGUCCGGAAUUAUUGGGCGUAAAGAGCUCGUAGGCGGUUUGUCGCGUCUGCUGUGAAAACCCGAGGCUCAACCUCGGGCCUGCAGUGGGUACGGGCAGACUAGAGUGCGGUAGGGGAGAUUGGAAUCCCUGGUGUAGCGGUGGAAUGCGCAGAUAUCAGGAGGAACACCAAUGGCGAAGGCAGAUCUCUGGGCCGUAACUGACGCUGAGGAGCGAAAGCAUGGGGAGCGAACAGG
rnacentral:rRNA from 1 species